GUCCACGCCCUAAACGAUGCAUAUUUGGUGUAGGUCAUUCAGUUGAUCUGUGCCGGAGCUAACGCGUUAAAUAUGCCGCCUGGGGAGUACAGUCGCAAGGCUGAAACUCAAAAGGAAUUGACGGGGGCCCGCACAAGCGGUGGAGCAUGUGGUUCAAUUCGACGCAACGCGAAGAACCUUACCUGGGCUCGAACGGCUGGUCAAACGAUCGUGGAAAACACGGUUACUCCGCAAGGGGGUCCAGUCGAGGUGCUGCAUGGCUGUCGU
rnacentral:rRNA from 1 species